CGGGGUGUGGCUCAGCCCGGUAGAGCGCCUGGUUCGGGACUAGGAGGCCGGAGGUUCGAAUCCUCUCACCCCGACAA
rnacentral:tRNA from 1 species